GAACCCCAACCUUCCCAUCACCAUCAAGCCUAGCAACAAAGUACAGAAGCUCCUGGAGGAGCGACUGAGAAGUGGCAGCUCCUGGCCAAGACGCGGCUGGAGGAGUUGCAGUGCUGGCACUUGGAGAUGAGGCACAAUGAUAUGCACUGUAGGCAGCUGGAGGAGGAGCCACAGCUCCAGGACCAGCAGCAGUAGCAGCAGCACGCAUUGCCUGGCUGGCCCCUGCUCAUGGGCAGGCCGGGAACGCCUGCCGCCCCACUCCCGCCCGGGCGGCAGCUGGAGUCCAGUGAGAUGACCCACACGUCACAGGUAGGCAUUCCACCGUCUACCCACAGAGCAGGGGCU